rnacentral:rRNA from 1 species
AUUGAACGCUGGCGGAAUGCUUUACACAUGCAAGUCGAACGGUAGAGGGGGCAACCCCUUGAGAGUGGCGAACGGGUGAGUAAUAUAUCGGAACGUGCCCAGUCGUGGGGAUAACGUAGCGAAAGUUACGCUAAUACCGCAUACGAUCUAAGGAUGAAAGCGGGGGACUCGCAAGAGCCUCGCGCGAUUGGAGCGGCCGAUAUCAGAUUAGGUAGUUGGUGGGGUAAAGGCUCACCAAGCCAACGAUCUGUAGCUGGUCUGAGAGGACGACCAGCCACACUGGAACUGAGACACGGUCCAGACUCCUACGGGAGGCAGCAGUGGGGAAUUUUGGACAAUGGACGCAAGUCUGAUCCAGCCAUUCCGCGUGCAGGAUGAAGGCCCUCGGGUUGUAAACUGCUUUUGUACGGAACGAAAAGGUUUCUCUUAAUACGAGGAGCUCAUGACGGUACCGUAAGAAUAAGCACCGGCUAACUACGUGCCAGCAGCCGCGGUAAA